rnacentral:rRNA from 1 species
AUGUCCUCUCCUUUCCAAUCUCCACCACCUCGACUCGCCGACAUGGCAGAGCAAGAAGGGGACGGGGAGGAGGAGAAGACGAUCGUCGUCGGAGCUGGAGACACGGCGGCGGAGGAGAUCGUCGCCGGGGCAGACGAGGAGGAAGAGAUGCACGGCGGCUGGGACGGCGGUGGCGGAGGAGGCGACGGUAUGUUCCGUCCCCCGCCGGGGUUCCGGUUCAUUCCGACCGAGGACGAGAUGAUCAGGUACUACCUGCUCCCCAAGCUCCAGGGCAGGGCGUGCGUCCCCAACAACGCCAUCAUCGAGGACAGCGUCUACCAGUGCCACCCGGACGGGCUCACAUGCAAAUACAUGGACCGGGGCCAGGCCGGCAGAAGCUUCUACUUCCUGUCGCCGAGGGACAGGGCCGGUCCUGAGAUUUUAGGGGCCCGGGGCAAGACAACAAAAAGGGGCCCUAAAGCUAAAAUUUUCUCUAUUUCAAUUGCAACUAAAUACUCGAUGCACUAUAUUUAUGUUGCCUUGUCAUGUAGACUAUACAACAAACCAAGGUCAUAA